rnacentral:lncRNA from 1 species
AUGGCUGCGCUCUGCAACUUUUGGUUCUCUAUACCUUUGCAGAUUCUGAGUGUCUCCUGCUGGGCAGUUAUGGCCUAUGACUGGUACAAGGCCAUCAGCAGCCCUUUGCUCUAUGUGGUCAGCAUGUCCAGCAGGGUGUGCUCCCUGCUCCUGGCUGGGGUUUAUCUGUCACUUAACUGUGCUCCAGACCGUAUCUGCUUUACUUACCCCUGUAAAUCCCACACCCAGCACAAACAAGACUCAACAAAUUUGUGGCUGAAGAGGCAGGAACAUACCCUGUCCUCAAGGAGAUGAAGCCGAGCAAGAUGGGAGCCUGAUGAUAACCCUGUGUGAUGAGGAGGCCCCAGGAGGACCUGUGUGGCUGUGGGGUGGGGUGGGGGGCAUUGGCAGAACCCCUGAUGAGCUCCUGGGGAUGGAGAAAGUGGCAGGAAGGAGGGGGUCUGUUCCUUGUGGGGUGUCCACAGAUUGUACCUCACCCUUUACUGAUGAGCACUUAGGCCAUUUUCAAACACGUGUCACUGUUCUGGAGGAAACAAUCAUUGCCCAGCUCCUACUCAAUCAAUUUCGUAGAUAUGUCUCUAGCAUUGGAGUAUAAACGUCUGCUUUAUUCAUUCCAUGCUCUGUUCAUCCACCCAUCCAGCCAGCCAUCUGUUCAUCCAUCCAUCCACUCACUAAUCAAUCCAUCCAUCCACUCUUAAUUCAUCCGAUCAUCUCAGACCCAUUGAGAAGACAGACGCCUCCUCCGCUCCUGCUCCCAGGAGGACACCCAGUGUGAGUGACAGGAGCCUCGUGGGGAUAAGGGGGGGAGACACAGAAGGGACAUGCCUGCAGGCCUUCCUCCCUCUGAACGGUGAAGCACCCACCUGGUCCUAACGCCUCCUUGCCGGGGUGUUCAGGCUGGCCCUUUUCCUUCUUGCAAAACAAGCGGCUGAUGGAGGACUUGAUGGCCUUCUUCUUCGGGGCUUUGUGCAGCAAGUCCUGGUGAGAGAGUCAUUUCCUAGGCAGGUUGAUAGGGAGUCUAGGGGUCCCCAAGGAGAGAGGGGUCUGGAAUUCUCAAGGAGGAAGAAAGGACAAACUUUUUUUCUUUCUCCACAUUCCUUAGGAUUAUAUGUAUCCUGCCUAAGGACAGUCUUUGGAUUCAACCUUCUGUUAUCUUAAAAUGUUAAUUAUGGGAGUAGACCUGGUCUUUACAAGGAUGUAUCUUGCCUGAGGACAGUGUUAUCUUAAAAUGCAUCUUAUGGGUGAGGGGCCUGGUGCCAUUCUGAAUUUUAAGACAUUCCUUUCUUUCAUUAACAGACUGCUAGUGACUAUAUAGCAUCCAGCUGAAGACUAGCAGGCGGGUACUCUUUCUACCCCCUUCUGAUGCCUAUGUCAGAAGCUUUCUCUAUCUCCUUUAUACUUUAAUAAAACUUUAU